rnacentral:rRNA from 1 species
GACGAACCGAGCGAACGUUGUUCGGAAUCACUGGGCUUAAAGGGCGCGUAGGCGGGUGCUCAAGUCCGGGGUGAAAUCCUCCAGCUCAACUGGAGAACUGCCUCGGAUACUGGGCGUCUCGAGUGUGGUAGGGGUAUGCGGAACUAUCGGUGGAGCGGUGAAAUGCGUUGAUAUCGAUAGGAACUCCGGUGGCGAAGGCGGCAUACUGGACCACCACUGACGCUGAUGCGCGAAAGCUAGGGGAGCAAACGGG